rnacentral:rRNA from 1 species
UACAGAGGUCUCAAGCGUUGUUCGGAUUCAUUGGGCGUAAAGGGCGCGUAGGCGGCGGGGUAAGUCGGGUGUGAAAUCUCAGAGCUCAACUCUGAAACUGCACUCGAUACUGCUCUGCUUGAGGACUGGAGAGGAGACUGGAAUUCACGGUGUAGCAGUGAAAUGCGUAGAUAUCGUGAGGAAGACCAGUGGCGAAGGCGGGUCUCUGGACAGUUCCUGACGCUGAGGCGCGAAAGCCAGGGGAGCAAACGGG